rnacentral:tRNA from 7 species
GGCCCUUUAGCUCAGUGGUAGAGCAGGCGACUCAUAAUCGCUUGGUCGUUGGAUCGUUCCCAACAAGGGCCACCA